CUGGAGGUAUCAGAAGUGCGAAUGCUGACAUAAGUAACGAUAAAGCGGGUGAAAAGCCCGCUCGCCGGAAGACCAAGGGUUCCUGUCCAACGUUAAUCGGGGCAGGGUGAGUCGACCCCUAAGGCGAGGCCGAAAGGCGUAGUCGAUGGGAAACGGGUUAAUAUUCCCGUACUUGGUGUUACUGCGAAGGGGGGACGGAGAAGGCUAUGUUGGCCGGGCGACGGUUGUCCCGGUUUAAGCGUGUAGGUGUGUGUUCCAGGUAAAUCCGGUUCACUUUAACACUGAGGCGUGACGACGAGGCACUACGGUGCUGAAGCAACAAAUGCCCUGCUUCCAGGAAAAGCCUCUAAGCAUCAGGUAACAUCAAAUCGUACCCCAAACCGACACAGGUGGUCAGGUAGAGAAUACCAAGGCGCUUGAGAGAACUCGGGUGAAGGAACUAGGCAAAAUGGUGCCGUAACUUCGGGAGAAGGCACGCUGACACGUAGGUGAAGUGAUUUACUCA
rnacentral:rRNA from 4 species